GACGUAGGGCGCGAGCGUUGUCCGGAAUUACUGGGCGUAAAGGGCGCGUAGGCGGCCUUCUAAGUCGAACGUGAAAUCCCUGGGCUCAACCCAGGAACUGCGUCCGGAUACUGGAAGGCUUGAAUCCGGGAGAGGGAUGCGGAAUUCCAGGUGUAGCGGUGAAAUGCGUAGAUAUCAGGAGGAACACCGGUGGCGAAGGCGGUUCUCUGGGCAUUACCUGACGCUGGAGGAGCGAAAGUGUGGGGAGCGAACAGG
rnacentral:rRNA from 1 species